rnacentral:rRNA from 1 species
GAUGAACGCUGGCGGCGUGCCUAAUACAUGCAAGUCGAGCGAAUGGAUUAAGAGCUUGCUCUUAUGAAGUUAGCGGCGGACGGGUGAGUAACACGUGGGUAACCUGCCCAUAAGACUGGGAUAACUCCGGGAAACCGGGGCUAAUACCGGAUAAUAUUUUGAACUGCAUGGUUCAAAAUUGAAAGGCGGCUUCGGCUGUCACUUAUGGAUGGACCCGCGUCGCAUUAGCUAGUUGGUGAGGUAACGGCUCACCAAGGCAACGAUGCGUAGCCGACGUGAGAGGGGGAUCGGCCCAACUGGGACUGAGACACGGCCCAGACUCCUACAGGGGGCAGCAGUAGGGAAUCUUCCGCAAUGGACGAAAGUCUGACGGAGCAACGCCGCGUGAGUGAUGAAGGCUUUCGGGUCGUAAAACUCUGUUGUUAGGGAAGAACAAGUGCUAGUUGAAUAAGCUGGCACCUUGACGGUACCUAACCAGAAAGCCACGGCUAACUACGUGCCAGCAGCAGCCGCGG